AUGUGCAUUUUGUAGGAAGAAAACUGUGAAUGGAAAAAGGAGAAGGGGAGAGAAACAGGGGGGAAAUCUGGAUAAUACAUUAAAGUAACCAUAAUUUUGGAGAUGCAUUCAUCUUAUUGAAAAUAUAUUUCCUCAUGGUUGUGAUUCCUCUUCACUCUUUUGAAUUUGGAAGGAUGGCAUACACAUCUGAAAAAUACCACUACUUCCUUCAUUGGACGGCAAGGUAUUUCUGUUUGGAAAAGUAAUGGAGUCCAGUCAACUUCAUUGAUCUCCAAGGACUGUCAAAAUUAUAAAACUUGCUGUGGAGCUCUGACAUGCCAGAAGCCGCUAGAAAAAGAAGUUUGACAUUCAGAAACUUAUCAAGAGGUUCUACUCUUUGGAUAGAGACCAAAAUCAUACUUUGAAAAAGCCUGACAGGUUUCUUCGGAAAAGUGGCCAUCCAUGGAAUGAAUGAAAUGUUCUCUUUCUAUUCCAAUCCAACUUAGAAAUAAUGUUUCAUUCAAGAUAAGGCUCGUGGUUUAGGAGAUUGUGACCUGGCUUGCAUCAUUCUAAGACUUCUAUCG
rnacentral:sRNA from 1 species